UUUUAUUUUUCAGUUCCUUAAAAUAACUAAUUUGUGGGAGAGAAUUUAAAAUAAAAAUAUAUAAAAAAAGGGGGAAGGAAGUAAGUUACUUUUUUGAUCCACACUCCAUUCCAGUUGGUGGCGGAAAUACACCAUUUUGUUGUUUGUCAACCGCCAAUAAAAUUUCAAGACGACGACGACGACAGUACAACCUGCAGUGGCUGAAACAUGGCCUUGCCCAUGUGCUCAGACUCGUCUUUGUUGAGAAACUUGUGUUUUAUGCUCAACUGAAAAAGGUCUUUUUUCUCUGGAGAAUUAUGGUGCUUGAUAUGAAGACUGUGGAGGAAGUUUAAAUAAUGUCCUUUUGUUCACAAAGAUCUUCAUUUCAUCGUUUACCCGUCGUCCUUGUACGGGACUUCCAAUUUUCCAUGAACUUUGGUAUUGAUUACUACAGGCACAUGGAUUAAAGGUGGCAGCUGUUUUGGACUCUUUGGCACAAGGAAUGGAAUUCAGAUAAUACUUUAUUCCCUCUCUCAUUCUUAACUCAUCAUCCAUGGACAGUGACAUGAUUUGGAUUCUACCUUUAAGUGUGCUUUUGUGUGUUUGUUUCUGGUGUGAUUUGGGGAGUUGUUUCAAAUUUUCUUACUGAAUAUAAAAGACUGGUUUUGCAUUGAAUAAGUGACUCUUGAUUAAUGCCUUGUUGGGAUAAACGAUUUUAAUGUGACA
rnacentral:lncRNA from 1 species